rnacentral:rRNA from 1 species
GACAGAGGAUGCAAGCGUUAUCCGGAAUGAUUGGGCGUAAAGCGUCUGUAGGUGGCUUUUUAAGUCCGCCGUCAAAUCCCAGGGCUCAACCCUGGACAGGCGGUGGAAACUACCAAGCUGGAGUACGGUAGGGGCAGAGGGAAUUUCCGGUGGAGCGGUGAAAUGCGUAGAGAUCGGAAAGAACACCAACGGCGAAGGCACUCUACUGGGCCAUGACUGACACUAAGAGACGAAAGCUAGGGGAGCAAAUGGG